rnacentral:misc_RNA from 1 species
UUUCUAUAGGAUCCAAUCCUAUUGUUCAUCUUUUUCUGGGUGGUAACUCAUUUGUGCUUCUAUGAUUUGAGCAUUGUUUAGGCAUCUCCCCUACUUGCUCUCAAAGAAGAACUAGAGUCGAUAUUUCUACCACUUAUUCAUUCGAAGCAGCCAGGACAAAGUUAUAACAGUUAAAUUCAGUAAGUGCCUCUAUGUUUUUACCUCAGCCAUUAAGUUGGAUACUGCGUUAGUGAAUUCAUUCAUGAUUGCAGGAUCAGCCAUGUGCAUGGAGAAGCAAGGAUGUGUGUGAAAAAAAAUAUUUGCUUUCGUUGAGAGUCCAACUCAAGACCUCUCGUCUAUUGCUCUAACCAUCUGAGCUAAGAAAGCUGGCAAUGUACAGUGUACGAAACUUUAAAUAAUAGAAUGCUUAUGAAUGCAUAUUAUUAUUCGCUGAGGAAUUCAUUCUUUCCUUCCAAUUCAAGGAUUUUUU